AUGUACCACGCGUACACUGCGGUUCCUCCGAGCCGUCUGCACCCAUCUGACGACUGCUCGUUAAAUCGCCAGUC
rnacentral:sRNA from 1 species